rnacentral:rRNA from 1 species
GACGAACCGUGCGAACGUUAUUCGGAAUCACUGGGCUUAAAGCGCGUGUAGGCGGGACGGCACGUCGGUCGCUGAAAUCCCCCGGCUUAACCGGGGAACGGGCGUCGAUACGACCGUCCUGGAGGGGCGUAGGGGGGACCUGGAACUUCCGGUGGAGCGGUGAAAUGCGUUGAGAUCGGAAGGAACGCCCGUGGCGAAAGCGAGGUCCUGGACGCCUACUGACGCUGAGACGCGAAAGCCAGGGGAGCGAACGGG